UGAGGAAUAUUGGUCAAUGGGCGCAAGCCUGAACCAGCCAUGCCGCGUGCAGGAUGAAGCAUCUAUGGUGUGUAAACUGCUUUUGUACGGGAAGAAACCACCCCUCGUGAGGGGUAUUGACGGUACCGUAAGAAUAAGGAUCGGCUAACUCCGUGCCAGCAGCCGCGGUAAUACGGAGGAUCCAAGCGUUAUCCGGAAUCAUUGGGUUUAAAGGGUCCGUAGGCGGGUCUGUAAGUCAGUGGUGAAAUCUCCCCGCUCAACGGGGAAACUGCCAUUGAUACUGCAGGUCUUGAAUUAUUGGGAAGUAACUAGAAUAUGUAGUGUAGCGGUGAAAUGCUUAGAGAUUACAUGGAAUACCGAUUGCGAAGGCGGUCAUCUGGACUUCAACUGACGCUGAGGCGCGAAAGCGUAGGGAGCAAACA
rnacentral:rRNA from 1 species